rnacentral:tRNA from 22 species
UGGCCCCGUGGUCAAGCGGUUAAGACACCGCCCUUUCACGGCGGUAACACGGGUUCGAGUCCCGUCGGGGUCAU